UACGUAGGCAGCGAGCGUUGUUCGGAGUUACUGGGCGUAAAGAGUGCGUAGGCGGUUUUCUAAGUUUGGUGUGAAAUCUCCCGGCUCAACUGGGAGGGUGCGCCGAAGACUGGAAGGCUUGAGUAUGGGAGAGGUAAGCGGAAUUCCUGGUGUAGCGGUGAAAUGCGCAGAUAUCAGGAGGAACACCGAUGGCGAAGGCAGCUCGCUGGGACGGUACUGACGCUGAGGCGCGAAAGCGUGGGGAGCAAACAGG
rnacentral:rRNA from 1 species